rnacentral:lncRNA from 1 species
UCGGUCGGUCGGUCGGUCGGUCGGUCGGUCGGGGCAGAGCCAGGGGCUGCAGAGGGCCGUGAAGCGGGGUCCGGGUGGGGCCUGGGGCGCGGGCCUGGCUUGGGGCGCGCAGAGGCCCAGAAAGCCCCGUCCGCCCCUGCUGCUGGACGCCUCCUUCACCCUGCAUCCGGCAGCCUGAGCUGCGGCCUGGGCCCGAGUCGCCCGCUGCCUGCCGGCCCCGGCUUCCUGCUUCCCUCCUGCUUCCCUCCUGCUCUGCACCCCGCUCGCUCGCACGGCGGAGGCCCGGAGGGAGGAGCAGCGAAGGGCCCUGAGGCUGCGGGGCUUCCGUGUCUCUCCUCCGUGCUUCUGAUCCUCGGGCACUUCGCGAUCCUUUUCCUCCCGUUCUUCUUUGCGUUUCUUUUCUCUUCUUUUCGGUCCUGGGGCUCGAACUCAGACCUUAUGGUUUCCGCUGUAGGAGUUUUCGCGGGGAAUGUUGGCUCGACCCUAGAAACCACCCGGAAGGCCCCGCGCUUAGGUCCUCAGACUCCGCACCCAGGACUUGCGAGGUUUUCCUCUCUCCGCGCUUGUCCACCUGUCCGGAAAGUCCCCUCACUUCCUCUGCGUGCUCUUCAUUUCUAGGCGUGAGAAUUCCACUUGUGGGAAGGGCGUUUUGAGCUUUUUUCUAUAUUUUUUUCAAUGAAGUUGCUCUUUAAAAAAAUAUCACCUCUGACCCAGGCGUGGGGGCGCACACCUGUCAUCCUGGCACUCGGGAGGCUGAGGCAGGAGGAUCCCUGGGAGUUCCAGACCAGCCUGGGCUGCGUGGUGAGAUUGUCUGAAAGGAACAAUUUUCCCCCUAAAAUGUCCACGCACCCUGCUUCUCCCGCUCCUGUUUAGGGUCACAGUGUCCGAACCUGACCUGGCUUUUCGUCCACAACUGUGCUUCUCCCUUGGGCGACAGAAGAGAUUCACCGUGACCUUGCGCUGGACGAAGACACGUAUUUCUGCUCCUUCCCCAACUCGGUCCUGCACCGCGGGGCCGUCUUCGAGGUCCACGCCGCCAUGGGCAACGCCACCUUCCAGGAGACCCUGCGCUUCGACAACCCAGGCAGGCCCCGGGGCCGGCGCCGCCAACCUGUCCUGCAUCAUCUAUGACGUGCACGCCAUGAACUGCAGCUGGGCGCCGGGCCAAACAGCCCCCGUGGACACCGUCUACCAGCUGUUCUGGUUCGACCCGUGAGUGGGCACCGUGGGGCGGGAUGGGGUGGCCCAGGCCGGACAAGUGGGGUGGACAGGGGGCUGCCAUCUCGGGUCCCUGGGUGGACAGGAAAUAAAGGGGUGCGGAUUGGAGACAAUUCACCCAAGACGUGGAGUCCACUGCUGUGUCCAUUAACAGAGGAACGGGUAAAGAGAAUGCGAUGGAAUACUAUACAGCCACAAACAGGGAAGGGGUUCAGGGCUGUGCAACAACACGGCAGGAAGCGGAGCUUGUGGUGCUCAGGGCCAUAAGCCAGGUGUGGGAGAUGAGUACUGAGCGGUGCUGGUCACAGGCGGAGGCCAAAAAUGUGGAAGCCAGAAGCCGAGAAGAAAGUGGAGGUGACCAGGGACCGGGGAGGUGGGGAUGCAGCGAGAGGAAUCUGAGAGGAAGUCACCGCUCGGCAGGAGCAGGCAGCGGUGUGGGGCGGCCGGCUGUCCCCUCGGCUGC